ensembl:processed_transcript
ACAGGUGUCCUGGAGGCCCACAGAUGCAUCAAGUCCAAGUGCUUGAAGGAAGAUCGACUCGUUUAACUCGACAACUAUGAAAGCCAUCCAAGGAAUGAUAUGAGCUCUUGGAGGAGGAGGGCUGAUCGUCGGGGAAUUUCUAGUAAAUUGAGAGCUCACAGACACAAACAGGACCUUAUUGGGCGGAUCAGGGGAAGUUUUGGCCUAUCAGCCUCUGCCCGUCCUCUCUUGAGAAGAUGUCAGUGCAAGUCUUCAGACUGGUUUCACAGCUGCUUUCACCUGUACAGGAGGAGGAUGUAGACGAGGACGAGUGAAAGGAGAGCAGUGGAGCCAUGAUGGAGUGAACUGCCGACUGAUGAUGAAGAUGAGACAGACAGGAUUAGGAGACACACAACCAGGAGGGAUACACACUAGAAAGAGACAUGGUAAUACCAAGAUAUACAAGGAGCAGACAAGGUAAGUACAAUUUAUGACUGACCCUAAAUAGACUGACCGUUUUUGUCCUUCUCGUUUAGACGAGGCUGUACACUAAGUGAGGGGCAUGCAAGUAUUUAUGAGCGGGUAUGGCGUGCAGGUGAACUUGAUGAUUAGAGUUCAGGUGAUGGGGAUCUAACUGGUUGUGGUGACUGUGAGUGGGGAGAACCUGGCCUCGCUGUGACAUACACCUAGGGUCUGAGAGUAACACAAUUUCAAUUCUCUGUAUGUCCUGUAUGUGGUUGAAUUGACAAUAAAACUGACUUUGACUGCACAUAAAUUAUUUAUCAAAACCUAAUUAUUAUGUGUUUUAGUUUUUUUUUUCUCAGUUUUAUUUAAUGAAAACACUUGUGGCCAUGACCAAAAGGCAAAAAAAUGUUUUAUUUUUUAGCAAAUGACCAAGUCUAUAGCAUAUCUCUAAUACAGC